rnacentral:rRNA from 1 species
UGGGGGCCUAAGGUGAGGACGAGAGUCGUAGCCGAUGGACAACAGGUGGAGAUUCCUGUACUAUGAUAUGACAGAACUGUGGGGACACGUGCAGAGAGCGGAAGCCGGGAAUGGGAUCCCGGUGCAAGCGAGGUACCAGAUGCGUUGGAAAAACCGCGCAUCAAUGGGAAGACGUGAUGCGGAGUGAAGUUUAGUAAUGAAGUCCGUGAGCUGUGCGUCAAGAAAAGCCGCUAUCGUUCAUACCAUACCCGUACCGUAAACCGACACAGGUGGAUGAGGAGAGAAUCCUAAGGCCGGCGGAAGAAGCAUUGUCAAGGAACUCGGCAAAAUGACCCCGUAACUUCGGGAGAAGGGGUGCCACUGAGAAGUGGCCGCAGAGAAUAGGCUCAAGCAACUGUUUAGCAAAAACACAGGUCUAUGCGAAACCGUAAGGUGAGGUAUAUGGGCUGACGCCUGCCCGGUGCUGGAAGGUUAAGAGGAGAGGUUAGCGCAAGCGAAGCUUUGAAUUUAAGCCCCAGUAAACGGCGGCCGUAACAAUAACGGUCCUAAGGUAGCGAAAUUCCUUGUCGGGUAAGUUCCGACCCGCACGAAAGGCGUAAUGAUUUGAGCGCUGUCUCGACAAUGCAUCCGGUGAAAUUGAAGUACCAGUGAAGAUGCUGGUUACCUGCGCCAGGACGGAAAGACCCCAUGGAGCUUUACUCCAGUUUGGUACUGGGAUCCGGUACUGCAUGUACAGGAUAGGUGGGAGGCUAAGAAAUGGUAACGCCAGUUGCCACGGAGCCGCUGUUGGGAUACCACCCUUGCAGUAUUGGGUUUCUAACCAGCCGCCGUGACCCGGCGGUGGGACAAUGCCAGACGGGGAGUUUGACUGGGGCGGUCGCCUCCGAAAGGGUAUCGGAGGCGCCCAAAGGCUCCCUCAGGAUGGACGGAAACCAUCCAAAGAGUGCAAAGGCAGAAGGGAGCUUGACUGCGACACCGACGGGUGGAGCAGGUACGAAAGUAGGGCUUAGUGAUCCGGUGGUAUUAAGUGGGAAUGCCAUCGCUCAACGGAUAAAAGCUACCCUGGGAUAACAGGCUUAUCACUCCCAAGAGUUCACAUCGACGGAGUGGUUUGGCACCUCGAUGUCGGCUCAUCGCAUCCUGGGGCUGUAGUAGGUCCCAAGGGUUGGGCUGUUCGCCCAUUAAAGCGGUACGCGAGCUGGGUUCAGAACGUCGUGAGACAGUUCGGUCCCUAUCCGGCGUGGGCGUAGGAUAUCUGAGAGGAGCUGUCCUUAGUACGAGAGGACCGGGAUGGACGGGCCGCUGGUGCACCGGUUAGACUGCCAAGUCUAUAGCCGGGUAGCCAAGCCCGGAAGGGAUAAACGCUGAAGGCAUCUAAGCGUGAAGCCCCCCUCAAGAUGAGAUAUCCCAUCCGAAAGGAGUAAACCCCCUUGAAGACGACGAGGUUGAUAGGGCAGAGGUGGAAGUGUGGUAACACAUGGAGCUGACUGCUACUAAUAGGGUGAGGGCUUGACC